GUGGGAGGGGGCUUGCUCCCGAUUGCGGUGAAUCAGUCAGCUCAUCUGUAGCUGACACUGCAAUCGGGAGCAAGCCCCCUCCCAC
rnacentral:misc_RNA from 1 species